rnacentral:rRNA from 1 species
GACGAACGCUGGCGGCGUGCCUAAUACAUGCAAGUAGAACGCUGAGGACUGGUGCUUGCACUGGUCUAAGGAGUUGCGAACGGGUGAGUAACGCGUAGGUAACCUGCCCCGGAGCGGGGGAUAACAUUUGGAAACAGAUGCUAAUACCGCAUAACAACAAAAGCCACAUGGCUUUUGUUUGAAAGAUGGCUUUGGCUAUCACUCUGGGAUGGACCUGCGGUGCAUUAGCUAGUUGGUAAGGUAACGGCUUACCAAGGCGAUGAUGCAUAGCCGAGUUGAGAGACUGAUCGGCCACAAUGGAACUGAGACACGGUCCAU